rnacentral:rRNA from 1 species
ACAACUCUGAGCGGUGGAUCACUCGGUCUGUGGAUGCUAUGAAGACCAUAGCUAAGUGUGAGAAUGGCAGCGAGCCGUCGCUAUA